GCCUGCGCUGCGCUCUCUGGGCCGGCCGCGAUGGAGGCCCUGCGGCGGCGCGGGCUGCAAGAAGCGCGCAACCCACAGCUGAACCUGCUCCAGCCUCGGAGCUGAACUAAUCGGGUCUCGCCGCCUCCUCGGGGGGCUCUGGAGGCUCGCAGCCUGGUCACCUGGCUGGCUAAGGCUGGUGCUCUUCAUCCUUCCUGGAGCCCAGCUCACCCCCUCCAUGAGCGGCCCCUCCCAGGCCAUCGCCGCUCCCCGGGGCUGGGAACGUGGCAGCUCCA